GGGCGUGUGGCUCAGUGGUAGAGCGUCCGCUUUGCAUCUCCAAUGCCUGCGGAAGGUCCGGGUUUCGAUCACCCGCCCGUCCA